AUUGAAAUGAGAAAAAUGAACAAUAUUCCCCAAAAACAAUUUUUCAUUGUUCGUCUUUUCUUUCUUCCUCUCUUUCUUUUUUCUUUUCUUUUUUUUUUCUUCUUCUCACUUAUUUGUUCUCUUGCUGUUCAUGAAAAUGAGGAAAGAGUUUGAGGAAGGGGGUGCAGGCAGAGUUCUGAGGAAGCGAAUUUUUAAUUCUUGUUUGUUCUCUGCAAUA
rnacentral:ribozyme from 13 species